rnacentral:rRNA from 1 species
ACGCGCGGAACCUUACCAGGUCUUGACAUCCCGUGACAACUCUAGAGAUAGGGCGUUCCCCUUCGGGGGACACGGUGACAGGUGGUGCAUGGUUGUCGUCAGCUCGUGUCGUGAGAUGUUGGGUUAAGUCCCGCAACGAGCGCAACCCUUGAUCUUAGUUGCCAGCAUUCAGUUGGGCACUCUAAGGUGACUGCCGGUGACAAACCGGAGGAAGGUGGGGAUGACGUCAAAUCAUCAUGCCCCUUAUGACCUGGGCUACACACGUGCUACAAUGGAUGGUACAAAGGGCAGCGAAACCGCGAGGUUAAGCCAAUCCCAUAAAACCAUUCUCAGUUCGGAUUGCAGGCUGCAACUCGCCUGCAUGAAGCCGGAAUCGCUAGUAAUCGCGGAUCAGCAUGCCGCGGUGAAUACGUUCCCGGGCCUUGCACACACCGCCCGU